rnacentral:rRNA from 1 species
GACAGCAGCCGCCGCGGGAAUACGUAGGUCCCGAGCGUUGUCCGGAUUUAUUGGGCGUAAAGCGAGCGCAGGCGGUUAGAAAAGUCUGAAGUGAAAGGCAGUGGCUCAACCAUUGUAGGCUUUGGAAACUGUUUAACUUGAGUGCAGAAGGGGAGAGUGGAAUUCCAUGUGUAGCGGUGAAAUGCGUAGAUAUAUGGAGGAACACCGGUGGCGAAAGCGGCUCUCUGGUCUGUAACUGACGCUGAGGCUCGAAAGCGUGGGGAGCGAACAGGAUUAGAUACCCCAGUAGUCCCUGUCUCUUAUACA